UACGGGGGGAGCAAGCGUUGUUCGGAUUUACUGGGCGUAAAGGGCGCGUAGGCGGCCACCGCAAGUCGACUGUGAAAUCUCCGGGCUUAACCCGGAACGGUCAGCCGAUACUGCGGGGCUAGAGUGCAGAAGGGGCAACUGGAAUUCUCGGUGUAGCGGUGAAAUGCGUAGAUAUCGAGAGGAACACCUGCGGCGAAGGCGGGUUGCUGGGCCGACACUGACGCUGAUGCGCGAAAGCCAGGGGAGCGAACGGG
rnacentral:rRNA from 1 species